GGGAAAAACCUGGAAUUGAGGAGAAUCCCAUUUUUCCCAUUUUUCUGCUUAUAAUUGUGAAUUCAGUAACAAAGUUUGGAAUCAAUCCCACCUCAGAACCCACCUCUGAUGCCAAUUUGUUAUAUAUCAGACCUACAUAAUUACUGAAACAGAAAAAUAGGAAAAGAGGUAGGGACUGGGUGAGAAGAGAAUUAGACUAGGUGAGGAGAAAUAGAAGUGGAUGAUAUUAAAAUUAGAGAAGAAGUGAGAAAGAAGAAUUUUGCAUUUGUUAUUGAUUAUAGAAUGCUCAAUUACAAUUAUUCUUCUCCUAUUUAUACUAACCUCUACAAAAUAACAGAAUACUGCCCUAUCCAUUAUAUUCAGCCCACCUAAGUCAACUUAUCCAGCC
rnacentral:misc_RNA from 1 species